CCACACGGGCGUUUACCAACGCAGAAGUUUCCCUUGAAACGCCAGAAGAAGAUGAAAGGGGGAAGUCUUUGAAAGGGUCCCAAAUGUCUAGGGAAAAUGGGUCGAAGAUGUUGCUUCUUCGGCCACCGAACAAGCUGGGGACAAUCGACAUGUUUGGCUGAAGCUGUGGAAAGAUUGAAGAAUUUGGUUGUGUGUAGGUAAUUUGCUGACUCUCGAUUGUUUAUGUUGGUGAUUUUGAGGGAGCAGGGACGAUU
rnacentral:lncRNA from 1 species